rfam:Sporomusa malonica strain DSM 5090 genome assembly, contig: Ga0070592_144
AGCUGGGUAGCUACGUCCGGAAAGGAUAAACGCUGAAAGCAUCUAAGCGUGAAACCAGCCUUAAGAUGAGGUCUGUCAUUCGAAAGAAGUAAGGCCCCUUGUAGAUGACAAGGUAGAUAGGCCAGAUGUGUAAGUGGCGCAAUCCACGCAGCUGACUGGUACUAAUAGGCCGAGGACUUGACUUA